rnacentral:rRNA from 1 species
UACGGGGGGAGCAAGCGUUGUUCGGAUUUACUGGGCGUAAAGGGCGCGUAGGCGGUCAGCACAAGUCAGUUGUGAAAUCUCCGGGCUUAACUCGGAAAGGUCAACUGAUACUGUGCGACUAGAGUGCGGAAGGGGCAACUGGAAUUCUCGGUGUAGCGGUGAAAUGCGUAGAUAUCGAGAGGAACACCUGCGGCGAAGGCGGGUUGCUGGGCCGGACACUGACGCUGAUGCGCGAAAGCCAGGGGAGGCGAACGGG